rnacentral:rRNA from 1 species
CAAUCUGCCUUGGAGUGGGGAAUAACGGCUGGAAACAGCCGGCUAAUACCGCAAUGAUACAGCUGGGAGGCAUCUCCCUGGCUGUCAAAGAUUUAUCGCUCUGAGAUGAGCUCGCGUCUGAUUAGCUAGUUGGCGGGGUAACGGCCCACCAAGGCGACGACCAGUAGCCGGACUGAGAGGUUGGCCGGCCACAUUGGGACUGAGACACGGCCCAGACUCCUACGGAAGGCAGCAG